rnacentral:rRNA from 1 species
UGGGGGAUAUUGCGCAAUGGGGGAAACCCUGACGCAGCAACGCCGCGUGAAGGAUGAAGGUUUUCGGAUCGUAAACUUCUUUGAGUGGGGAAGAUAAUGACGGUACCCACAGAACAAGCCACGGCUAACUACGUGCCAGCAGCCGCGGUAAUACGUAGGUGGCAAGCGUUGUCCGGAUUUACUGGGUGUAAAGGGCGUGUAGGCGGGAUUGUAAGUCAGAUGUGAAAUGCCGGGGCUUAACCCCGGAGCUGCAUUUGAAACUACAAUUCUUGAGUGCUGGAGAGGAAAGCGGAAUUCCUAGUGUAGCGGUGAAAUGCGUAGAUAUUAGGAGGAACACCAGUGGCGAAGGCGGCUUUCUGGACAGUAACUGACGCUGAGGCGCGAAAGCGUGGGGAGCAAACA